CCUACGGGAGGCUGCAGUGGGGAAUAUUGGACAAUGGGGGCAACCCUGAUCCAGCCAUGCCGCGUGGGUGAAGAAGGCCCUCGGGUUGUAAAGCACUUUCAGUGAGGAAGAACGCCUGGUGGUUAAUACCCAUCAGGAAAGACAUCACUCACAGAAGAAGCACCGGCUAACUCCGUGCCAGCAGCCGCGGUAAUACGGAGGGUGCGAGCGUUAAUCGGAAUUACUGGGCGUAAAGCGCGCGUAGGUGGCUUGAUAAGCCGGUUGUGAAAGCCCCGGGCUCAACCUGGGAACGGCCUCCGGAACUGUCAAGCUAGAGUGCAGGAGAGGAAGGUAGAAUUCCCGGUGUAGCGGUGAAAUGCGUAGAGAUCGGGAGGAAUACCAGUGGCGAAGGCGGCCUUCUGGACUGACACUGACACUGAGGUGCGAAAGCGUGGGUAGCAAACAGGAUUAGAUACCCGAGUAGUC
rnacentral:rRNA from 1 species